rnacentral:misc_RNA from 1 species
UCCAAGUCCCACCAUUUUCUGUUCUUGCCGUUCCUCCUUUACCUGUGCGCUUGUGUGCGUGGUGGAUUCUUCGAUUGAUUUAUUCGAACUAGGGAACACCGUCAACAUCUCGUGUCUCUCACUCGCCCCCCUCCUCUCUCUCUCACUCCGCAUUGGCGCGUCGGUGCUGUUUGGGUUGUGGUGCGCCUCAUUGCAAGCCCUUCCUCGACCCCCGUACGUGUGCAAGAGGCGCAACGCAUUGCCGCUCGAGAAAGCAUACUGGGCAAGGCACGUGUCGCUCAAACAGUGCAGAGGUGCCGUUCGAAAAAAAAAACAAGGGAAAAAUACAACAAAAACAGACGGAGGAAGAGAAGGCGGCGUGCCAAACGAGGGUGGCUUGAGCUCUGCUUUUUUUUUCUCGGCUUUCGGUUCUGUGGCACUCGUGCUGUUCCCCUCAGCGUCUGUGUUGCCCACGUUCCACGCCCCUCAUCCACAUUCUACGCCUGUCUGUCUCUGCUUUGCCGAAACCCAUCAAUACACAGCGCUCUCUUUUCGGUCACGCAUUCUCUCACUUUCUCACCCAACCUGCGCCGUGUCUGUACGCUGGACGCCCGCCCUCGCCCAUUCAUCUUCCGCACAGGCGACGCCGCUUGUUUUUUUUCUCUAUCCCUUUCCACGCCGCAGUGCGCGUUCGCCUCCCUUCAUAGUCUCUCUCUGUGUUUGUGCGGCUUUCGACUGUCCCUGUGAUCAGGUACGUGCGCGCCUCUGCGUGACUUAGCCACGGUUUCGAGCGCGUUCCCAAGAGGCCACGGUUUUCCCCCUCAACUGUGUCGCCUUUUUCGCCGCGCCGCCUUUUCAUCCUUCGCCGUCUUAUCCCGCACGCCUUUCCUCACCGCCACACCACCCCCUCCCUGUCCCCUCUCCGUCCCCUCCCUUUUUUUAGCGUGUUCGCUGGUCUCCGUUACAUUGAGGUGCGACUGCUACGGUUGUCCUUAUCUAAGAAAGGACCUGCAUACAGCGUUACCCGAAACGCGACGGAGGAGCGCAUCCGAUUAUUAUUUUUUUGUUUCCUGUCUCGGGUCUCACGAAACGCAUCCAUCGACACCACCGUGUGCAGACCCUUGGCACACCCCCUCCCUCCCUCCCUCCCUCCCUGUGUGUUCCACUCUGGCCUUUCGUGUCUUCGGUCACUGGCUUCGCCCCCUUCCGCUCUUGAACCCGCCCCACCCCAUCUUCGACAAUCCUCUCUGUUCUGCAUUGUCUCUCGUGCCUCUCUACGUUUGCGCGGGUGCGUGCCUCAGCCGGUCUCUGCAGCCGAAUUGCGCCAUGUCCGUCGAGGAAGUUCCUGACAGCAACAAGCUGUUUUCCGACGCCGUGUUCGACCGCGAGAACGCGCACAUUGCCAGGGAAUGGCAGCGCAUUACGGAGGUGUACCCAGCUGGUGUGAACCAGCCGCUGCUGCCCGAAGUAUUCUCGCGCGAGCAGUUCGGCCAGGGCAACCACUAUGAAUGCUUCAUGCUCUCGGCACUUGCAACGCUGAUCCGCUUCCCGGAUGUGAUCCGCAACUGCUUUGUGACGAAGAAGGUGCGCCAGGAUGGCCGCUACACGUUCCAGUUCUUCCGCGGGCAGGAGUGGGUAAAGGUCGAGAUCGACGACCGCAUCGCCAUGGAAGAAGGCGAGGUGCUCUAUGCUCGCUCCCCGACUGAGCACUGGUGGCCGCUGCUGCUGGAGAAGGCGUACGCGAAGUUCUACACCGCCUACGACCACCUCGAGGGCUGCACGUUGCAGGAGACAUUCCACGACCUGACAGGCAACCCGGUGCUGAACAUCCCCAUGGACGCCAAGCUGGCCAAGGCGGCCGGCGCCGAGGUGACUGAGGGUUUCUACUGGCUGGUCUUGGCACAGCGCAUCCAGUCUGGACAAUUCAUCGCCUCCGUGCUCACCAAAGACAUCGAGCUUGAGACAAUGGGUCUGCAGCGCGAGCAACAGUACGGGGUGCUCGAGAUUUUCUCACUGACUGGCACCUCCUCCAUCAACGACAUCGUUAUUCAUCUGCACAACCCCUUCGAGGACGAGGAGUACGUCUACAAGGGACCGCUGAACUCGAAGGAUACUACCUGGGAUGUGAAACAGCGCGCCAAACAUGACGUCGACGACGAGCGCUCCAUUUUCCUGCCGCUGAACACCUUUCUCAAGAUCAUGAACUCCGUGCAGUUGUGCUACAUGUCCCCGGUGGAGGCGGACGCGACGUACUUCCACGACGAGUGGAAGGGUGAGUCGGCCGGCGGCAACCCGACGAGUGUGUCGUGGCGCAAGAACCCGCUCUACUUCGUCCGCAACAGCGGCAGUACGGCGUUUGAGAUCGUUGUGGUGAUCAAGCAGGAGGACCAGCGUCGAUUCACUUCCCCAGAUGAGAUGACCAAGUAUCUCCAGUGUGGCAUGGUGCUGAUCCACUACUCCUAUGCCAACCCGAUCCCGACCUUCUGGGUCACCGGUAACAACCACAAGCCAUUCACAAGAGCCUCUUCCUCAACUCGCGCGAGGUGGCGAAUGCCAUGACGAUUCCCCCCAACUCGUUGUGUUAUCUCGUCUCCUCCUGCAUGCACAAGGGCGCUGACGGCCCUUUCACCCUCGCCCUGUACCGCAUGAAGGGUGUCGAUUACAGUGACUUGACCAUCAACAAACUGGCCAUUCCCCGCAUGAACUGGGCCAACUCCGCCACCAAGAACGUAGAGCUGUGCCAGAAAGAAAAGGACCGUGUUGACUUCUACGUCGAUGAAGGGACCGAUAUUCACAUCCUCAUGCACCAAACAAAGCCCUACGUCAGCAAGUCCGGCGGUGACGCCAUGACGGAGGACUACAUGGGCAUGUACCUCUACGACGACACGGACCGCAAGAUAGCCGGUGUGCACGCUGCCACGAACUUCCGCGAGAUCAGCAUCAUCCACCGCCUCCCCCGCAGCGGUCGCUAUGCCAUCUCCAUCACGUGCCCGCGUGCGAAGGGCGAGGUGCCGGCUUACAUUACCAUCGUUGGCUCGCACGCCUCGAACGUACGCAUCGUCGACCCACCAGAGGAUGCCACGAUGUUCGACGAUGAGGACAUCAUCGACGAAGGCGAAGACGCCGCCCUCGUGCACAACCCGAUCGACUACGUCCCCGUCGUAUUCGAUGUGGCGCACCACGACGAGCAGGCCGAAAGCGAUUCCCCGUUCGAGGACAAGCGCUUCUACGUGGACAACCGUGGUGCCACGAGCGAGCCAUGGGUGCACAUCGGCGACCUUUACCCCGAAGGCAAGACGAGGCCGCUGCUGCCGAACGAGCUGAGCCGCGACCAAUUCGGGCAGGGCGACCACUACGACUGCAGUACGCUGACGGCGUUCGCGGCACUGAUGGAACACCACCCCGACGUGAUCCGCAACUGCUUCAUCUCGAAGAACCCGCGCAAGGAUGGCCGCUACACGUUCCAGUUCCACCGCUACGGGCAGUGGAUCAAGGUGGAGAUCGACGACCGCAUUCCGAUGGUGAAGGGCGACACGGUGUUUUGCCGCUCGCCGACGCACCACUGGUGGCCGCUGCUGCUGGAGAAGGCGUACGCGAAGUUCUACACGCUUUACCAAAACCUCGAGGACAUUUCUGAGGGCGAGGUCUUCCACGACUUCAGUGGGUGCCCUGUUAUCUUCAUCCCCAUGGAGGCAGACAAGGCCAAGGUGGUCAACUACGACAUCCAGAGCGCGCAGUUCUGGCGCGACCUGAACAACGAGCUGGAUCAGACAGCGCUGGCUGCGUUGGCGCUGGGUGAGCAGGCGGAACAGUACGGUCUGCAUCACGAGGGCAGCUACGCGGUGCUGGGCUUCAUCGAGACACGCAACGCCAUCAACCUCACCCCUGCGGAUGUGCUUGUGAAGAUGUACAACCCGUAUGAGGACUCGCCGUACACGGGUCCGAUGCACAGAGACGACUCAAGCUGGACGUCGGAGAUGCGGUCGAUUUGCAACCCAGCGCAGCGCAACAUUUUCUACAUUCCUGCGAAUGUCUUUCUUGACGUGUUCGCGAAUGUGCAGCAGGCCUACAUCAAGGCACCACUGCACCCGAGCUACAACUUCAACAGUGAGUGGGGCGACACGACCAGCGGAGGCAAUGUUUCGCUCGUCACGUGGCGCGCGAAUCCGCUCUACGUGGUGCGAAACAAGGCGGAGGAGCCGGUGCAGAUCAUUGGCAUGAUUCGUCAGCCGGAUCAACGACACUUGCUGCAUCGCCAGACAAAUCACGAGUUGAACUAUAUACAGUGUGCUCUUGUCGUGGCGGAAAGCAUCAGUGCGGAACGCAUCCCGACGUACCUGGUUACCGGGAACAACCACCGCCGCCUGCGCUCUGGCCUGUAUUUGCACAACCGUGAGGUGGCGGAUGUGAUGACAAUCCCUGCCGACUCGCUGUGCUACAUCAUCCCCACCGGCAUGCGGCGCGACAGGGGUAAGUUCAUCUUCUCAUACUGGUUCCUGCGCAAGGGCGACAAAGAUAAGUUGGACAUCGAGCGUCUCAACACGGACGUGGCACGCCAGCUACCGGCCAUCGCGCAUCUGGACCUGAUGAACAGGGGCCAUGCGCGCGUGGACAUCCUGGUUGAUGUACCGACCGAUCUCCACAUCCUGCUAAAGCAGGAGAAGCCGUUCAAGCACGCGAGUGGCGGUGACGCGAUCGCGCAGGACUUCCUCUCCAUGUAUCUCUAUGACGCAAAUGACAAGCGCAUCAGCCCAAGCACGCAGGCGACGAACAAUCGCGAGAUCGGCCUCGUGCAGCACGUGAGCAAACCGGGCCGCUACGCCAUUGGCGUGAACUGCACCUCUGGCACGGGAGAUGUGCCGUGCAAGGUGGAAAUUGUCGCGCAGGAGCGCGCACACGUGCGUAUAACCGAGGCCCCUGAUAACGCACGCGAGCUCGGCGAGCUGGACCUCUCCUUCCUCGAACCCGAGCCGGAGGGGGUGCCGCUGGCGGACCUCCCGCUUGAAGAGGACCUGAAGUUUCAGGAGCAGCUGGACGCGCUGAAGCGUCUCCAUCACAAGCCCCACAGGAACGAGGACGAGAUUCUGGCGCUCGAGCGAAAGAUGAACGCCCGCGCGCACGAGCUAGCGAGGGCCUUGCUGGGCAAGGACCGGUGUAAGUAUCUGACUGGGCAAGACAUCGAGAAACUGGCGCCACUGUUGGACAGUGACCCGGAGUACAUGAACGCGGAGCGCGAGCGCCACAACCUCAAGAAGGACCCGCGUAACGCCGGCAAGGUGCGCGCUCUCGAGGAGGAGCUGCGCGACCGCGCCGCUGCCCUGGCCGACACGUCCGCCGGCAUAGACUUGGGCUUCAUGGAUCUCGAAUACGAGGGUAUCCCACGGGACGACAUCGAACUGCUGAGCGACCCUGCCUUCGAGGAAAUGGCGCAGGCGCGCGCUAGCCUGCUGAGCGACCCUGCCGCCAACGCGCGCAAGAUCAACGACAUGGAGGACAAAAUGCACGACCGCGCUACCGAGAUGGCGAGGGACAUGCACAAGAAGGAGCGCACGUACCUCGACCCCGAGCCAGAGGGCGUGCCGCUGGACCUGCUGCCUCUGAACGAGGACGAGGCGUUCAGCCGCAUGGAGGACGAGCUGCGCGCUCUCAACCGCAAGCCAAAGCGCGACGCGAAGGCGAUCAAGGACCUGCAGCGAACGCUCAACGACCGAGCGCAUGAGCUGGCUUCUGUGCUAAAGAGCGACGAACGCGAGCUGUUCCUGGACCCCGUGCCGCUUGGUAUUCCGGUGGCCGAUCUCCCGCUCGACACCGACCCGGAGUUCCACUUGAAGGAGAUUGAGCGUCUGCAGCUGCGCAAGGAGGACCCUUUGGGCAACCGCGACGACAUCAAGACGCUCGAGGAUGAACUGAAUGAUCGAGCUCGGGAGUUGGCUAAGGACCAGCAGGCGAAUCAGCGCGCCUUUCUGGACCAAGACCCAUACGGUGUGCCGCUGGAGAAGCUGUGUCUGGAUUACAACGACGACUUCCUGCGGAAGGAGAGCGAGCUGCGUGCGCUGCAGAAGAACCCGCGCUGCAGUGCCACGGCAAUCGCCGAUCUGAAGGCCGACAUGAGUGAGAUGGUGGACGCCCUGGCGGCCGCCGAGGCGGCGCGCGACCGCAAUUUCCUCGACCUCGAAGUGGAAGGUCGCCUUGUGCAUCUGCUCCCGCUAUUGGAAAACCCGGAGUUCAAGGAACUCGAUACGAAGCGCCGCCGUGUGCUGAACCGUGGCGGCGACACGAGCAAGGUGCCGGAUAUGGAGGACCGUAUGAACGAUGUUGCGCUCGAGAUCGCGCACGACAUGAACGUCGCCGAGCGACCAGACUACAUGGACACCACGUACAAGGGUAUCCCGGUGGAGGAUCUGCCGUUGGACGAGGAUCCGCUGUUUCGUUCGUUGGAGGUGAAGCGGCAGCAGCAGAAGCAGGACCCGCGCCGCAACGCGCGCGGCAUCGCCGACACGGAGCAGGAGCUGAACGACCGCGCAAUGGAGCUGGCGGCAGAAAAGCUCAAGGGCGACCGCAACUAUCUCGAUCCCGAGCCGGAGGGCGUGCCACUGCGUCUAGUCCCACUGGACAGCGAUGCUGCCUUCGCCGAGAUGGAGGCGCAGCGCGCGAAGCUGAAGAAGGACAUGCGCCGCAACACGAAGCCGAUCGCGGAAAUUGAGAACCUGCUCAACGACCGCGCGCACGAGCUCGCCAAGUCUCUAAAGGAGAAGGAGCGACCCAAGUUCCUGGACGCCAGAUUUAGCGGCAUUCCGUACACGGAGCUCCCGCUGGACGCAGACCAGCCGUUUCGCGACAUGGAGGUGCAGCGCCUGUUGCUGAAGGAGCAGCCGCAUAAGAACGCCACGGCGAUCCAGGAUCUUGAGGAGGCGCUCAACGACCGUGCCGGUGAACUCGCCAAGGAGAAGCUCGCCAAAGAACGCGCCUUCCUCGACCCGUGCCCGCUCGGCAUCCCGCUGGAGGAGCUGCCGCUGGACAGCACACCGGCCUUCAUCGCUAAGGAAGAGCGCCUGCGCGCCCUCAAUAAGGAUCCUUACAAAAACGCCACGGCGAUCAAAAUGCUACAGGGCGAAAUGGACGACAUGGUGAACGCGCUGGCGGCCGAGGAGCUGGCAAGGAUGCGCGGCUUCCUUGACCCGGAGCCGGAGGGCCGUCUGGUGGAGAGCCUGCCGCUGAACGACGACCCGCAGUUCCACAAGCUGGAGGCGCAGUACCGUGAUCUGAAAAAGAGCCCGAAGGCUAACCCGCAGGACGUGGCAGACUGCGAAGAGCUGAUGAACGACCGGGCGCACGAGCUGGCCAAGGACAUGAACCGCGAGGAGCGCCCCGACUUCAUGAACAUGACUCCGAGGGGCGUGCCGCUCGAGGAGCUGCCGCUCGACACGGACGAUGAGUUCAGCAAUCUGGAAGCGCAGCGCGCGCGCCUGAUGCGGCAGCCCGCGAAGAACAAGAAGGCAAUCGACGAAAUCGAGUACGCCCUCAACCUGCGCGCCGAGGAGCUGGCGCAGGAGAAGAUUCAGGCCGACCGCGCCUUCAUGGACGAGGCGCCGCAGAACAUCCCGCUCAAGUACAUUCCGCUGGACAAGGACAAGGAGUUUGGCAGAAUGGAGGCGCAGCGCAUGGCGCUCCGUGCGCAGAGCCAGAACGCGCGUGCGCUGAUUCCGAAGUUGCGUGAACUUGAGGACGCGAUGAACCAGCACGCGAACGAUAUGGCCAAGGCGCUGAAACAGCAGGUGCGCGCAAGCGUGCUGCCGCCGCGCAUUGGCGGCAUUGCGCGAGAGGCACUGCAGCUCGACGACGAUGUGCCGUUCACAGAUUUGGAAGUGGCUCAGAUCGCCGCCAACGGUGACGGUGAUCUCGACAAAGGGCGCGACCUUGGCGACGCCAUGCAGAAGCGCGCCGCCGACGUCGCGGCGAAGCUGCGGUGGGAGGAGCGUGCCAAUCUCGGCAACCCGCUCGGCUUCUCGCCGGAGGACUUACCGCUGGAAAGGAGCCCCGAGUACCUGCAGAAGGAGUCAGCACUGGUGGAGAUGCGCGCGAACCCGAAGAAGAACGCGCAGAGCAUCAAGAGCGCGGAGGAGGACCUGCACGCCUUGGCGAUGGAGAUGGCCAAGGAGAAGGCCGCUGAGGAGCGCGAGGAUUACAUCGACCCGGAGCCGGAGGGUCGCAAGCUGAACGACCUCGGCCUCGACGACGAUCCGACGUUUGUCGGCAUCGAGGAGCAGUACCGCAGGUCAAGGAAGGACCCUUACGCCGACCAGGACCGGCUGCGCGACCUGGAGCAGAUGAUGAACGACCGUGCACACGACCUGGCCAAAAUGAAGAACGCGCGGGACCGGGACAUGUACCUCGACAGAGCCCCGCGCAACGUGCCGAUUGUGGAGCUGCCGCUCGACACGGAUGAGGAGUUUGGCCGGCUGGAGGCGCAGCGCGCGAAGCUGUGCCAGAACCCGGUGCGCAACGCGCAAUCCAUCCGAGAAACCGAGGACGCCCUGAACGACCGAGCCGACGUGCUGGCGGCCGAGGCACUGAAGAACGACCGAAUCUUCCUGGAGGCCGAGCCGGAGGGUGUGUCGCAGCGCCAGCUGCCGCUGGAUCUGGACCAGACCUUCCGUUCCCUCGAGCUGAAGCGCGCGGCUCUGAAAAGCGCCCCGAUCAAGGACGACCGUGCCAUUCGCGCGGUGGAGGAGCAGAUGAACGAUCACCUGCGCAAAAUGGCGAGGGAGGUGAAGAUGGAUGCCCGGCGCGACAUGGAGCCGAACUCGCUUGGCAUUCCGUCGGAGGACCUGAACCCGUACCUCGACGAGGACCCGCACUUCCACGAGCUGGAGGACAUGUACCGCGACGCGAAGAACAACCCUACAAAGGCGAAGAAAGCGUCGCAGUUGCUUGACCAGAUGAACGAGCGCGCGAGGGAGAUUGCGCAGGCGGUGCACGACAUGGAGCGACUCCCGCUGAACCAGGCCCCGAACGGAAUUCCGCUGGAGACGUUGCCGCUCAAUGAAGACCCCGUCUUCAACGCCCUCGAGAAUGAGGCGCGCGCGUUGCGCAAGGGGCCAAGCGGCGGAAAGAAGAGCGCCGAGAGGCUUGCCGACGUCGAAGAUCGCUUGAACGCGCGCGCCGAAGAGCUGGCAAACGCGGCCCGCAAGCAGUAUGUGGAUGCCAUGCCGGAGGGUGUGCCGAUGGAGCUGCUCAAGCUCGGCGACGACCCCUCCUUCGUAAACGCCGAGGCGGAGCUGCGGCGGCUUGAGAAGAACCCCGUGGCGAAUCGCCAGGGCAUCAAGGACCUCAAGGACGAGCUCAACUUUAUGGCCCAUGAAAAGGUGAAACGACUAUUGCGGGGUGACCGCGGCUAUCUCCACCAGACGCCGGACGGGGUGGACCUCUGCCACCUCCCGCUGGACACGGACCCCGUGUUCCACGAGCUGGAGACGCGGCGUGCGAAGCUGAAGUCCGAGGACCCGCGCGCCCACCAAAAGGCGAUUGCCGCACUCGAAGACCAGCUCAACGACCGCGCUCACGAGCUGGCGAAGGAGGUGAAGGAAGGUGAGUUGCGCGCUCUAGAGCCGGACCCGCACGGCAUCCCGUACGCCGUGAUUAUUCCGCACAACGACGUCGAGUUCAACAACUGCGCGAAGCACUUGCGCGACCUGAAAAGUGACUCGAAGCGCAACGCAGCAGCCAUCAGGGAGACGGUGGAUCGCAUGAACGACCGCGGCGCCGAGCUGGCGGAAGCGAUGCUGAAACAGGACCGCUCCUACCUGAAGCCGCAGGCGGCUGCCGUGCCACUCAAGUACCUGCCGUUGGACACCGACCCGCAGUUCAACCGGAUCGAGGUUGAGCGCGCGAAACUCAAGGCCCGCGACUCUGUGAAGAACGCCAAGAAGAUCCAAGCGCUCGAGGAUCAGCUGAACGAAAGGGCCAACCAGCUCGCUGAGGCGCAGAAGCAGGAGGAUCUCCGCGGGCUGGACCCCAAGCCAGAGGGUAUCCCGCUCUAUGUGAUUGACCCGCACUCCGACGCGAAGUUUGCCUCGUUUCUGCCGCAGCUGCGCGACAUGAAGGCGGACCCGAGGACGCGGCCGGAAGACCUGCAGCAGGUGGUGGACGCCAUGAACGACCGCGCUCACGAGCUGGCUAGCGAGAAGCUGCGCGGCGACCGACUCACCUAUCUGGAGGAAGAGCCGAAGGGCGUUCCGCUCGAUCUGCUCUCGCUGGACACGGAUCCGCAGUUCCACGACAUAGAGGCGCAGCGCGCUGUUCUCAAGGCGCAGGAUCCGCGCCGCAAUGCAGCCAAGAUCAGGGACUCGGAGGAUCGUUUGCGGGAGCGCUCGUACGAGUUGGCGGAACAGCAGCGCACGAAGGACCUGGAGAACCUCGACCAGGUGCCGGAGGGACUGCCCAUCACUCUAGUGAACCCACACGACGACCCGGCGUUCGCGAAGAUGGUGAACCAGCACCGGCAGCUGGCGAAGGACUCGGUGAAGGACUCGGCGAAGAAUUCGGAGCUGCUGACGAAGCUGGAAGAGAAAAUGAACGACCGCGCUCAUGAGCUGGCCAAGUUGAUGCUUGAGAGCGACCACUCGUUCCUGGACCCUGCGCCGCAGGACGUCUCGCUCGCAGAGCUGCCGCUCGACACAGAUCCGGAGUUCCGCAGACUGGAGGUGGAGCGAGCCAAGCUGAAGGCGCAGGACCAGCGCCGCAACGCCGCAAAGAUAAAGGAUAUAGAGGGCCAAAUGAACAAUCGUGCGCACGAGCUGGCUCGUGAGCAGCUUGCCGAGGACCUUCGCGGUGUCGACCCGGCCCCGCGCGGGCUGCCGGUGGAGUUGCUGAACCCGCACGCGGACUCCCAGUUCGCGGAGGCGGUAAAGCAGAUCCGCGUGCUGAAAAAGAGCCCCAUUGCCGACCCGAAGGCGAAGCUGGCGAUGCUGGACAAGAUGAACGCCCGCGUGCGCGCUAUGGCGGACGAGGCGAUGGACCGCGAUUACCUCGAUCCUGAGCCGGAGGGGGUGGCGCUUGCCGACCUGCCGCUUAGCAGCGAUCCGGAGUUCCACGACAUGGAAGUGGGGCGCGCCCGGCUGAAGCUGAGGGACCCGAAGCGCAACGCGCGCGCUAUCAAGGAUCUCGAGCAGCGGCUCAACGAUCACGCGCACGAGCUGGCGAGGAGGCAGCUGGAGGAAGACCUCGCCGGCUGCGACCCUGAACCUGAGGGAAUCCCUCUGGCGCUGUUGAAGCCGGCCGAGGACCCGAAGAUUGCCGGCAUGAUCCCGCAGCUGCGCGCGCUGAAAAAGGACCCGAAGAAGAACGCCGAGGCGAUUCGGCGUGUGGAGAACGAGAUGAACAACCGCGCCAACGAGCUGGCGCGUCAGUUGCUGGAGGGCGACCGCGGCUACCUCGAGCCGAAUCCGGAGAAUGUUGCGCUGGAGUACCUGUCGCUCGACAAGGACCCGGAGAUCGCCGAGAUGGAGGUGGAGCGGGCGAAGCUCAAGGCACAGGACCCGCGGCGCAACCAGCGCCGCAUUGCCGACCUCGAGGACAGGCUCAACGACCGCGCGGUGGAGCUAGCGGUCGCGAAGAAGGCGGAAGAACUAGCGCAUUUCGCACCCCAGUAUAACGGCAUCGAGACGGCGGCGAUGAGGCCAUACGACGACCCUGAGUUUGCGGCCCUUGUCGACCAGCUCCGGAAGCUGGAGAAGGCCAGCGCGGGUGCUUCCCCUGAGGCGGAGAAGGUGCUCACUGAUAUGGACGCGCGCCUAGAGGUGCUGGCAAAGGAGAAGGUCGAGGGCGACCUUUGGUUCCUGGACAAGGAGCCGGAGGGGAUCCCGCUGGAGGAGGUAGAGGUGGAGUUGGACCCUAUCUUCCAGCAGCUGCGGCAGGAGUGCGCCAACCUCAAGGCAAAGGACCCGCGCAGGAACGCCGACAAGGUCAAGAGCCUUGAAGACCAGAUGAGAAGCCGUGUGCACGAAUUGGCUAAGCACCUCAAGGAAAGCGACUUUGACGGCGUCGACACGAGCCCGCUGGGCAUUCCGCUGGAGCUGCUGCAGCCGCUUGAGGACCCGCAGGUGGCAAGGAUUCUGCCGGAGCUGCGUCGCGCCAAGAAGAGCUUGCGCGACACCCAGAGGGCGCAGGGUCUGCUAAACGAGCUAAAUGAGCGGAUCCACGAGCUAGCCAAGAAUGCGCUGAGUGGGGAUCGUUCGGCAUACUUGGACUCGGACCCGGCGGGUGUGCCGCUGUCGGACCUGCCACUGGAUACGGACGGCAUCUACAGCGGUCUCGAGGUUGAGCGCGCCAAGCUGUUGCUCAAGGACCUGGCCAAGAAUGCGAAGCAAAUCGAGGAUCUCGAGGAUCGCCUGAACGAGCGGGCGCACGAUCUGGCGCAGCAGGUGCUCAAGGACGACCUGAAGAACGUUGACCCGAAGCCGCAUGGCAUUCCUAUUGAAGCGGUGAGGCCACACAACAACCCGGACUUCCACAACCUCGCAACGCGCGCUCGCGAGCUCCGCAAGGAUUCACGCCGCAAUGCCGACAAGCUCGCCGCCAUUCAAGAGCAGAUGAACGACUUGGCGAACCAGAUGGCGGCGGAGAUGCUCGGCAAUGACCGUGGCUACCUCGACCCUGAGCCGGAAGGCGUGCCGGUGGAGAUGGUGCUGCUCGACGAGGACCCCGAGUUCCACGAGAUGGAGGUGCAGCGUGCAGUGCUGGUCGCGCAGGACCAGGUGAAAAACAGGCAGGCGAUCGCCGACCUCGAGGGGCGGCUCAACGAUUGCGCACACAAGCUGGCUGAGGCGCAGAAGCGGGAGGACUUGCGUGGCCUGAACAGCGCCCCGCUCGGGGUACCCGUGUCGCUGCUGAACCCUCAUGACGACCCGCGCUUCGCCGCGAAGCUGCCGGAGCUUCGGGCGCAGAAGAAGGAGGGCUUUCCGCGCGCCCAGUCGCGUCUGAACGACACGCAGGCGAAAUUGGAUGAGAUUCUCGAGGAGCUCGCCGCGCAGUACCUUGAGCAGGAUCGCGCGCGGUACCUGUACCCUACUCCAGAGGGCAUCCCGGUGGCGGCGCUCCCGCUGUGCGCGGACCCGGAGUUCCAUCAGCUGGAGGCGGAGCGACUGGACUUGAUCAGCAAGAACCCGAAGGCCAAUAAGGAUGCCAUUAAGGACCUGGAGGCAGCGCUGAACGAGCGUGCCUGCGAGCUGGCGCGAGAGCAUCGCAAGGGCGACCGGGGCUACCUCAACGCUGAGCCGCUCGGCAUUCCGCUUGACGUGCUGCCGCUUGACACGGACCGCCAGUUCAGCGAUCUGGAGGCGAAGCGUGCGGCGCUGAAGACGAAGGAUGCGGUCAGGAAUGCCGCCGCAAUUCACGACCUGGAAGAUCAGCUGAACGACCGCGCGAACCAGCUCGCAGAGGACCAGAUCACCGAGGACUUGCGCGCGGUUGAUCCGACGCCGGAGGACAUCCCGGUGCGGAUGCUGAAGCCGCACGACGAUCCCGAGUUUGCGCGGAUGGUGAACGCGCUGCGCUUGCUCAAGGCAGACCCGUCGGCAGACCCCAAGAAGGUGUCGGACCUGGAGCAGGACAUGAAUGACCGCGCGCACGAGCUGGCGGAGGAGGCGCUUGCGGGCGACCGCCCGAUGUACCUCGAUCCGAAGCCGGAGGGCAUUGCGAUCGAGUCGCUGCCGCUCGACUCCGACCCGCUCUAUCACCGGCUGGAGGUCGAGCGCGCGAAGCUGAUGCUGCAGGAACCCAAGAAGAACCAGGCGAAGGCUGCUGAGCUCGAGGGCCGCCUCAACGACCGGGCGCACGAGCUGGCAAAGGAGCAGCGAGCGCGCGACCUGCAGGACUUGGACGAGGCACCGCGUGGCAUACCGGUGGACCUGCUGAAUCCGCAUGAAGACGAGACGUUCGCGUCGCUCGCGUUCCAGCGCCGUGACCCGAACAACACACUGAGGAAGGCGCUCGACAUCGGCGGCACCAACGGCGACCCGACGCGCGACAUGCUCAACGAACGGCUAGACGAGAUGGCCAAGCAGAUGCUGGAGGGCGACCGCGACUACCUGGACCCCAAUCCGGAGGGCGUGCCGCUGCGUGUGCUACCGCUCAACGAGGACCCGGAGUUCCACGAGAUGGAGGUGCAGCGUGCGGUGCUGAAGGCGAAGAACGCGAAGAAGAACGCGGUGGCCAUCAAAGACUUGGAGGACAAGCUGAACGACCGCGCUCACGACCUGGCAAAGGACGCUUUAAAUGGCGACCGCGGCUACCUCGCCCCUGAGCCAAGGGGCGUGCCUCUGGCGGAUCUGCCACUCGACAAAGACCCGCAAUUCCACCAGAUGGAGGUGGAGCGGGCCAAGCUGAAGGCGCAAGACCUGACGAAGAAUGCCAACAAGAUCAAGGACCUGGAGGACAAGCUGAACGACCGCGCCGAAAAUCUCGCUGAGGUGCAGAAGAAGGAGGAUCUCCGCAACCUGGACGGCAAGCCGCGCGGCAUUCCGCUGGAGUCGCUGAAUCCGCACGAUGAUGCAGAGUUCGCGUCCCACUUGCCCGAGCUGCGUCGGCUGAAGAACGAGCAACCGAACCACCCCAAGAUCAAGGACCUCCAGGCGAAGCUGGACAACCGCGCAGAUGAGUUGGCCAAGGCUCAGAUCGACCGCGACCGCGCCUUCCUGGAUCCUGAACCGGAGGGCAUCACGUUGGCUCAGCUGCCGCUUGACAGUGACAAGCUCUUCACGAGCCUGGAGAAGCAGCUACGUCAGGCGAAACAGGACCUGAAGCGCAACGCGGACAAGAUUACUGACCUGCAGGAUUGUAUGAACAAGCGCGUGCACGAGCUGGCGCUCAACCUGCUCAAGGGUGACCGCCGCUACCUCGAUCCCGAGCCGGAGAAUGUGCCGAUCGCCGAUGUGCCGAUCGACGCCGAUGCGAUGUUCCGCGAGUUGGAGGCGCAGCGCGCGAAGCUGAAGGAGGACCCGAAGCGCAACGCGGAUAAGAUCAAGGACCUGGAAGGCAAGCUGAACGACCGCGCGCACGAGCUGGCCAAGGCUCAAAAGGAGGCGGCUCGCGGCUUUCUCAACCCCACCUCGCACCGCGUGCCGAAGGCGCUACUGCCGUUGGACGAGGAUGCGGCGUUCGUAAAGAUGGAGCAGCAGCUGCGGCGCCUCAACAAGGACCCGAAACGCAGCGCUAGCGCCAUCGACAACCUCAAGGGCAUGAUGCAGGACCGUGCCGACGAGCUGGGAGAGAACUUGCUGAAGGGCGCCCGCGACAAGUACCUCGACCCCAACCCGGAGGGCGUGCCGGUCGGUUAUCUGCCGCUGGACUCCGACCCGCAGUACAGCCACGCGGAGCUGCAGCGCGCCGUCCUCAAGGCCCAGAACGCGAAGGGUAACGCAGCCAAGAUCGCCGACCUGGAGAAGGUGCUGAACGACCGGGCCGCUGAACUCGCCAAGGAGCAGCGUCAGAAAGACCGCGCCUUCCUGGACCCGGAGCCGGAGGGUAUUCCAAUCGCCGACGUGCCACUAGAUGACGACCCGAAUUUUCUGCGACUGGAGGACUACUUACGCAAGCUCAAGAAGGACCCCCGACGCAACGCCGACGCCAUCGCCGACACACAAGAGAGCAUGAACGACCGGGCCCACGAGCUGGCGAAGGGCGUGGUGGCCGAGGACCUCGCAUGCCUGCCGCGGGCGGCGUACCGUGGCAUCCCGAAGGAGGACCUGAACCUCCACACGUACCUGAAGUUCCGCGACGCGGCGAACCGGCGGCGCGACGCAAAGCGCCGCCGUCUGCCGACGACGGACAUACGGCUCAUCGAGGAUGAGAUGGACAGGAUCGCCAGCGAGAUCGCCGAUGACGUGAUCGACAGCGAGCGUGCCUUCCUGGAUCCUGAGCCGGAAGGCAUGGCCAUCGCCAACGUCCCACUCGAUGCGGACAAGGAGUUCGCCGCCCUCGAAGCCGAGCGCCGGCGCCGCUCCAAGGACCCGCGUGCGGCAAAACGCAACAAGGACGUCAUUCGCGACUUGGAGAACCAGAUGAGCGACCGCGCGCACCAGCUGGCGAAGGAGGAGUUCGCGAAGCAGCGCGACUUCAUGGAUCAGGAGCCGGAGGGCGUGCCGCUGGAGCGGCUGCCGCUCGACACGGAUCCGGAGUUCAAGGACGCGGAGAUUGCGCGCUACAAGGCCAAGACGGACCCGAAGGCGGACCCGAAGAAGGUGGCGGCGUUGGAAAAGCGCAUGAACGACCGAGCCCAUGAGCUGGCCAAAGUCGAACUGGCGAAGGACCGUGCCUUCCUCGACCCUGAGCCGGAGGGCGUGCCACUGGCGGACCUCCCGCUCAGCGACGACCCGGAGUUCAACGUACUGGCGAAGCAGCGUCAGGCGCUGAAGAACACCAGGAGGGGCCGCGACCCCGAAAUGAAGGACCUGGAGGAGAGGAUGAACGACCGUGUCCACGACAUCGCAAGGGAGUUCCUCAGCAAGCACCGCGGCUACCUGAACCCGGAGCCGCAGAAUGUACCCAUUGCCGACAUCCCCCUCAACCGCGACCCGAUCUUCCGCGAAAUGGAGAACGAGCUGUUGAAGGCUAUGAAGGACCCCCGCAGCAAUGCGGGCAAGAUUGCAGAGCUGCAGGACGACCUCAACAACCGCGCAGACGACCUCGCGAAGGACCUACGGCGCAAGGAGCUUGCUAAUCAGGAGCAGGAGCCUCUCGGCGUGCCGCUGGAAGAGCUGCCACUCAACUACGACCCGAUCCUCAAUCCACUGGAACGCAAGCGCCGCGACAUCAAGAAAAACCCGAAGCGGAAUGCCGAUGUGCUGCGCAACCUCGAGCGGGAGAUCGCCGCGCGCAUCGAUGACAUCGCGCGCGACUUUCUGGCGAAGGAGCGUGCUUUCCUGGACCAGGAACCGGAGGGGGUGCAAUUGGAGCGCCUGCCGCUGUCAGAUGACAGGGAGUUUCACGAAAUGGAGAGGGACCUGCGCGCGCUGAAGAAGCAACCAGCAAAGAACAGGGACGCCAUCGAGGACCUCGAGGAACGCAUGAACGACCGCGCACAUCACCUGGCCAAGGACUAUCUCGCGAAGGACCGCGACUACCUCGAGAAAGAGCCGCUCGGUGUGCCGGUGGAGGAGCUGCCGCUUAACGAGGACGUGACCUUCCGCGAUGCGGAGGAGAAGCGGCGGGCGCUGAAGAGGGAUCCGCGUGGCAACGCAAAGGCGAUCAAGGAUCUGGAGGAUCAGCUGAACGACCGCGCCGAGCAGCUGGCACAGCAGAAGCUGGACAAGGAGCGCGCCUUCCUCGACCCCAGGCCGGAGGGCAUUCUCCUGAAGGACAUGCAGCUGGACAGGGACAAGGCGUUCAAGGACAUGGAGAGGCAGCUGCGGCAGCUGCGCAAGGACCCGCGCAAGAACGCAAACGCGAUUCGGGACAUGGAGGAAGACAUGAACAGCCGCGCCCACGUACUGGCAAAGCGCCAGUUGGCGGACGACCGGAACUUCCUCAACCCGGAACCGCGCGGUGUGCCGCUAGUCGACCUCGCCCUCGAAGAUGAUCCGGAGUUCCGAAAGACGGAGCUGGCGCGUCGCGAGGCCAAGAGAAACCCAAAGAACGCUGACAGGGUGCGCGAGCUGGAGAGCAUUCUGAACGACCACGCCGACCGCAUCGCCGGCGAGUACCUCAAGAAGGACCGCGCCUACCUCGACCCCGAGCCGGAGGGUGUGCCGUUGGAGGAGCUGCCGCUCGACACGGAUCCGGACUUCCACGGCAUGGAGGUGGACCGGCGCAAGCUAAACAAGGACCCUGCAAAGAACUCCAGGACCAUCAAGGAUCUCGAAGAGCAGCUCAAUAACCGUGCGCGCGAGCUGGCCAGGGACAAGAAGGGCUACCAGGACCCGGUGUUCCAUGAGGCAAACGAGGAUAUAGCCGAGCAGUGGCCGCGCAUUCGCGAGCUGUACCCGGAGGGUGUGUACGAUCCGGUGACGCCGGACACCACACUGCCGUCGGACAUCUCGUCCGCCCCGCAGGACAUGGGCUUCCUCGCCCCGUUCAUCGCGGCCUUGGCGCGUCACACGGUGCUCAUCUCUCGCCUCUUCCAAGACAAGGCGCACCCGCAGAACCAGCCCUACCGCGUGACGCUAUUCAACCCGGACAGCUCGCCGGUCACAGUGGAAGUGGACGACCGCGUGCCGUGCGACGACAAGCGAGAGCCGAAGUUCACACAAGUGCCGUCACGCAUGUGGUACCCGCUGCUGCUGGAGAAGGCGUACGCCAAGUUCGUCGGCGGCUACGAGAACUUUAACAACUGCAAUGCCCACGAUACGCUGCGCGAUUUGACGGGCCGCCCGGUGCUGCACAUUUCUCUCGAGGACCCGAAGCACGCUGCGGCGACGAACAUGGGCGACUACACGACGCCGGCCUUCUGGCGCCGUGUCAUGGAGGACCUCGACCGCGGUGACGUGUUUGUGUGCGUGGCGAACGGCAACGUGCCAGAUGGCCUGCAUCCGCAGUGCAGCUACGCGCUGAUGGACGUGGUGGAGGUGAAGCCAUGCACAAGCGAUCCGUUGGAUAUCGUGAUCAAGGUGCACAACUGCUACACGGAUGCCCCGCAUUACAACGGCCCGCUGCGCAAGGGCGACAGCAACUGGACGGCGGAUGUGAAGCGAGCGUGCAGCUUCUCGCCCGACGAGAGCGACAUGAUCUACAUGCCUUUGUCCACCUUUCUCAACAACUUCAGCUGCAUGCAGCGCUGCCAUAUCAACUGUGGGGAUCGCCUCAGCUCUCCUGGUGAGUGGAACAAUUAUACGGCUGGUGGCACGUCCAAGUACACGACCUUCCGCAGUAACCCCAUCUACCUCGUAGAGAACAAGACGUCGCGACCAGCCACGAUCCUCGCCGAGGUGCGCCACACGAACCCGCUCUACGUGGACGAGACGAACUGUAAGCAGUACCCCUACACCGGGCUCACUCUCAUGCAGCCAUCGAAUGCAAAGCUGCCGCCAACGCCGUUUAUAACGAAUGGCACGCACAAGUUCCUGCAGAAGGGCAUGAUGCUGGACUCGCGCGAAGUGUGCGCCGAGAUGGAGCUGCCGCCCAGUUCGACGUGCUACCUUAUCCCGUACACUAAAGACCGCGGCACGAUGGGCGAGUUCUUCGUCUCCAUCUACCCGGACAUGGCCAAGGUCACACUGACGCCACUGCGACACGCUGGCCUCACUUUGAAGCCGCUCCGCACCAGCCUCAGCCUGCAUCCCGGCGACGAAGAGGGCGAGCGGCUGGAUUUUAUGGUGAACGAUGCGAGCGACGUGCACAUCCUACUGCACCAGACGAAAAUAUCGGACCCAAACAGCAUCCGCAAGGGCGAUGCCGUGGCCGAGGACGAGGUGACCAUGACGGUCUUCAACGAGUACGGUAUCAAGAUCGGCACAACAGGCGAUUCGAGCAACGCGCGCGAGCACGCGCUCAUCUUCAAGGCCCCGCAAGGCGGCCGCUACGCGUUGCUCGUGAACUGCACGGCGUCUGCCACCGGGGGCCCAUGCACGGCGAACCUGGAGAUCUACACGCCAACGGACGUGAGCGCCGACUUUGUGCCGGUCGCGCCGGACGCGAAGCCGCUGAACGCACAGGCGCAGUCGCGCUUUCCCACGCUGUCGCGCACGGCGACGGCCCCAGGCGCGUCGCGUGGUGCCAGCCGCACUGGAAGCAACGUGCGCCGCACUGACUCUCUGCCGCCGAUCAACCAACGGUCUGUCAGCAGCCGUCGUGGCAGCCGCGAAGAAGCCGGGCACCGCUCCAGCCGCGGCCGCCGUUAAAACAACAGCACUGCAGCUGAGGUGAGGAUAGGCAGGGGGGUGCAUCAGGAGGCUCUGCGAAGGCGGAUAUCAGGGUGAGGGAGUAGUUAUCUCUCUUCCUCUAUCGUUUCCAGUGACUCUGAUCGCCAGGACUCCUUGCCGCUGGCGAGUCCCUUCUGCGGUUGAGCUCCUCUUCUUACGUGGUGAUGCCGCCGUUACGCUCUUUACUGCGUUGCUGCCGGCGUGCGCUUUAUCGGUGUGUAUGCCCACGAGCACGGUAUUUGGUGCAACCGUUGGGAUGCUCUGCCUGUUGUCUGACAGAAGGCACCGUACGUCUCUUUACGUGUAUGCAUACUUACGUCUAUUUGUAUAGAUGCGUAUGUGUGUGUGUCUUUGCCCCCCCCCAGCGCCGAAAAAAAAAGGAGUACUUCCUCUCCUCCAGGUGUUCUCUCUCUUCGCGUCGAAGGUGAAAAGGUUCAUAGCGGUCACGGUGCCUGCGCCUUCCUUACACGCAUAUGGGCGUGUGUUUGUUUUGCUUUCCCUGCUCGGUGUUGGUUUCACGCACCGAUGGGCGUGUAGCACAUGCCGUAUGCAUAUACAUAUAUAGAUGUAGAGAUGUGUGUAUAUGGGCCAUAUCUCUGUUCUUUGUUUUCGUUGUGCAUUAUUGUUACUAAUUUUUGGAUUUUGUCCGCUUCCUCUUAUUGUAUGUUCCUCUCGCUACACAAGGAGCGUAACGAACGGAAAAGAGAGCCCCCAAAAAAAAACGGGGCUCGGGGGGCCGCUCUGUGAUGGAUGACAAGUGCUUAGCCAGAGGAGGGAGAUCGUGUCCGAACCACUUGCUCACUCGGCGUUGACGCGCGUUAUAUAUAUAUAUAUAUGCCUUUUGUUUUUUUUUUUCGCAGGUCUGGUCAAUCAGAGGAAAAGGGAAAGAUCAGGAGGUGAACCGUGAUACGCGUCGCACACAUACCCGCACACGUACGUGCGGAAGUACACAGCGCUGAGUACGACGAUUGCCAAUGCUGCAGCAUAUAUAUAUUUAGCUUUUUUUUCGUCUCAUUAUGGUGCUUGCUCGUUGCAUGUGUGUGCGCGCUGACCGUUUCUGGUCGUUGCUGGUCUCCUCGUCUCUUCCUCGUCCUUUUCGCACUAUUCUGGUAUUUACUCUUUACGCCCGUUUUGCUUCUUCUUUUCGGAGUCGCCUCUCUGCGAACGUCUGUGCUGAUGUGAGUUUGGGUUAUCGGUUAGCCGUGUGCUCUGCGGUUCAGCUCCGCCGCCCCCCUUUAUACCUCAUUCUCGGUGCCUACUUCUCUCUGUGCGCACCUACGCGCGCAGAUCCGCGUACUUUUUUCUUCCUUUUGGAUCGUGCGCUUGUGGCGUCUAGAGAGGGCGUGUGAGAACCGCAUUUUCAUUCGUUCAUUCUUUUUGUGACCCAGCAUUUCAUUUAUGGUGUGCACACACUCGAAGUUUAUCGUCUCCGUCGUUUUCUCCUGGCUUUCCCGGGUGUCGAACACCGCCAGCCACCCGCAAGCACAAGGGCGAAGAUGGCGCUCUGCCGUCGUGCGCAAGAGCGGAGUCCGCCGAAAGAAGCGAAAAGCACUCAAAACACCUGCGUAGCGACACAGUGCGAAAAGAAGACUGACUUAACGAUGAACAAAGGCAGCGGUGUAUACAGCGUGACGGAGUAGAACAACGCGACGACACGUUCAAGAACGCGCCACUCGGUUCCUCUCUUCUUCUCUCUUGCACGUCCCACCAUCAGCGCUUGCCUGUUUUGUUUUGUCUUUUUGUCAGCUGAAACACGGUGUAACUAGAAGAUAACGCGAUCGGUGCUGCCCAUGCCUCCCCUGAUCUUUUCAUGGGCGUCCAUGGCAUCCCUACCAGCGCCAACAGUCGGGCAGCGAGAGACGAAGUAAAGGACACAAAGCAAGCAACGAAGACAAAACGGUAAAAGGGCGCAUUCGCAAGCCGCAGAGCCUCUCUUUUUUUGUUUUGUGUGCGACCCCUCCUUUUCCUGCCCCUUGUCGUUCUUUUCUCGCGUGUGCGUAUGUGUGCAUGUUUCUCUCUUCCUACCUCUCGAACUUUUUUCGUGUGUUUGUGUGUGCUGAGCUUGUGCGCGGCAUCGAGAGACAGAAGGGCGUAUGUGAGCGAGCGCGUUUCUGUGCGCACAAGUGCCGCCACUUUCUCCAUCGACGGGGAGGGCGCCCUUUGAUGACGUCUUCUGUUUCCAUCUGCGCCUCCCUCCCCUUCCUCCUCCUCCUCUCCCCCUCCCCACUCCCAAUCACCACAACACUCCGAGGAAAAAGAACCAACCGAAGAAACCGAAAUGUGGCCUCUCUGUGUGUUGCACGCUGUCGCUUGCACGUAUGCUUUCGGGUUCGCUUUCCUUCGCAUUCCCGACCGUCUCCCUGCUCUGCCGCUGUUACGGCUGUUAAUGGCGCUAUGCUUGUGGUGAUGCAGGUGGCCCCCUCGUCCGUUGGCUCGGUGGAGACAUACAUACAGAAAACACAAAAGAAAAAUGGAGGACGCCGCUGCCGAUUUGCUGCCUCGUGUCUGCGCUGUCCCUCUCCCCUACCCUUCUUUUUUUUCCGGGCAGAGUCUCUUGCGUGGAUUUCGUGCUCGCGUAAUCGGUGGCGAGGACAAGAGCAGGAGACCCACUCGAUCGGAGUUCGCGGAACGAAAAGCAUAAAACGAAAAAGACAGAGGCGAUCCGCAGCACACGUUACUUUCCAUUUAACUCUCGAACCCGCGAUGUCGUCUUCACAGAGGACAUCGAUGGACAAGGGAGCCACGCGGAGAUGACCUCACCGCAGGCUCUCCCUUCACACGUUCUGGUUCGUCUCGACAAACGUUGACAGCUUUUUUGUGUGUCUUGAGUGGAUGGCAUCAAGGGUGCUUGCCGAUUUCCUUCCUCUUCUUUUAUGUGUCUUUUGAUCACACCAUAUCUCCCUCCUCCUCUCCUUCUCCCACCUACACCCCUUAUUUUGGUUUCAAGGCGCGUAGCCUUGCGCAUGCGUGUGUGUGUGUGUGUACGCGUGUGCACCGCUCCCCGCCAUGUGGGAUAUCUGGCAUGUCUCCGUCUCUUCUUGUCUUUGUCUUUAUCGCUCUUCGGUCAGUCUCUGCAUAUAUGUAUCUUUCUUGUUUUUUUUUUUUGGCAGCGGAGAACGUCAGUGCACUCGACGAAUGGGCCCCGCCACGUCCUCUCUCCUGGGUCUCUCUCGCACUCGCCGCACUCGCACACGUGAACGUUCGAAUGACGCCGGCCGCGACGACGCGGAGGAAAAGAGAGAAGACAAAACGGUGCCUGAAUACGUGCGGUGUGAGAGCGGCAGACUGACAGCAGCAAAAAAAAAGGCCGCAGCCGUGCUGUCGGUGCUUUUGUGUUUUUCUUUUCACGUGUGUGUGGGGGGUGGGUGGGUGGGUGGGUGGGGGUGGACAGUGCGUCGUACGUCACGCUGCUCGCCGUAGUCCUACCUCUUCUUAUGUCUCGGAGUCUUUCUAUGUGCACUUUCUUAGUCACGUUUCAGUUUUGCUGAUGAUUUUUCUUUUUACUUCCAUGUGAAGCGUGUGCGCAUUCACAUGCACACACACACACACACACAUGCACGUGCUCAUCCAAAUCCUGGCAGCUCAUGACCCCCUCACUCCUUUUCUGUCUUUCUGCAUCUUCGAGUACCUCUUCUGGGGAAAAACAGUGGACUUGAGAGGUGCAGAGUGGGCGAGGGGGCGCUGUGCGGAAGGUAGAUAGAAGGCAGCAUCAUAAGAAUACGUGGAUGUUGUUUCGCUGUUGUUGAGUUGCUUCAGAAUAACAGAAGAGACGCGUGCGCGUAUUCGCUCACCUGUACGCAGCUCUCCACACAGCCCUUUCACAUGCCACGACACUGGCCACACCGAGAAAAGUCAUGGUAGGUGUACUGUCUUGGGGAGGCAGUACGCCGAACACCAAUCUUAUGCCAUGACGCGAAGAAUGUGAAGGGCAGCAGCGAUCCGUCGAUCUUCGCUGAAUGUGGCGCGCUGUGGCGUUCUGAUCUCUUUUUGUGUUGCUGAGUGUCUGUGUAGAUCGUUGGCAAGUGGCGUCGGUACUGCCCCAUUUCUUCUGUGUUCAAUGCUGCGCCGCCUCUCUCUGACUCCCUCUCUCAUCGGCACCGUCUAGGGAGUCAGGAGGCGCUUGAUGGUUCUUUCGUUUUGCAUGGCAAGUCCUCUUGUUUUUGUUGCUUUCCGUUACGUUUUUUUCUGUUGUUGUGUACGUGUCUCAUCUUUUCCCUUGUGUGCAUAUUAUUGUAGAUCCGUCUUUGUUUUUCUCUUGCGAUGCCGUCUGUGUCUGUGGGGGAGGGGGAGGGAGAACAGAUCCGCAGUUUCAAUUUUUUUUUCGUUCUUGCUGCGGGCGGCUCAGGCGCGACGCUGCGAGCUCCUUCCAGCUCACUUCUUUACCACUCGAUGCUGAAAUGUUCACCACAACUGAUGUCGCUGCCUUCGUUAAAUUUUUUUUUACGUAUGUGCCGCACCUCAUCUGCCAGAGGGUGGCGCAGGUUGCGCCUCUGGUUGACGUCAGUCUGUGGAGGGGAUGAGCAUUCUCACUCUUCUUUCGGGCUGGUGUGUAUGUGUCGGUGUGUGGUCGCAACCCUCUCCACGGUUUUCUGCCCCCUCUUCCCACCCCCACCUGUUUCCUGUCGACUUUUUUUUUCGUCCUUCUAUUGUGCAUUAUGUUUUUUCCGUUGUGCUAUCUAUCUAUAUAUGUAUACUGUGUGACUGCGUGUGUGUGCAUGUCUCCUCCUCUCCCCACCCCUCUCCCUUCCUUCCUCUUUGCCCCAGCGUGUCUCUCCCUCUUUUCAUCUCUACAUCCUCCACGUCUUUCUUUUGGCUGUUGGUGAUGACGUGCCUGUCCUCCGUUCCGUUCCUUCUUUUCACUUUUCUUAUACAUCGCUGGUCCUUUACGUUUCUCGUCCCUCUUCUUCCUGCCCCCUUCCCCCUGUCGCAUGGCCAUUCUUCUGUCUUCUCUCUCGCCAUCUUGACGCAAAUGCAUUCUUGGCACUUCCGUCGAGGAUGGGCGUAACGGGGACGUACUGUAGCGCAUCCGCCUCCUUCAGCCGCGCUAGUGGUGGUUAAUAGUGACUCGCGUUGAUGUCAUGCUCCUCAUGCACAACGUAGCAGCGUGUUGUCGUCGAGUGAGUGGUGGAGAGGGUGAGAAGCAUACAAGACACAGGGGAGAGAAGAGAAAGAGAGACGUGUGCAGCCGAUUCGCUACGAAGUGUUUUUUUUUCCCGUGUGCAUCUCCUCUCUUCCGCCCUUUCGUGGCCUCCCUCGAACCCCUGACUUCACCGUCUGCAUCCGCGUACGCGCGGGUCUGCGUCUUGUGGUGUCCCUCGCUUCGCCUUUUUCUCGUUGUUGCCGCUUCAUUGUUUUUCCUUUUUGUUGCGUUCUGUUCAUCUUUUCUGUCCAUCACGGCCGCUUCUCAUAUUGAGAAGGAAUGAAAAAAAGAAAACGCAGGUGAUGCGCUACCCAAUGUGCGCCUCCACUUGGUGUGGCAGCGUGCCGCUGUGCGUGUGUCUGUGUGUGCCGUCCAUCAAUGUGCGACGGAGAGCGCGCAGGCUUCCAACGCACGAGCUGUUUAUGCCCUUCCCCCCCCCCCCCCCCCGAACCUUCUCUACUGAGGCCGCUGGAAUAG